rnacentral:rRNA from 1 species
GUGGGGAAUAUUGCACAAUGGGCGCAAGCCUGAUGCAGCCAUGCCGCGUGUAUGAAGAAGGCCUUCGGGUUGUAAAGUACUUUCAGCAGUGAGGAAGGUGGAUAUGUUAAUAGCAUAUUCAUUUGACGUUAGCUGCAGAAGAAGCACCGGCUAACUCCGUGCCAGCAGCCGCGGUAAUACGGAGGGUGCGAGCGUUAAUCGGAAUUACUGGGCGUAAAGCGCAUGCAGGUGGUUUGUUAAGUCAGAUGUGAAAGCCCGGGGCUCAACCUCGGAAUUGCAUUUAGAAACUGGACAAACUAGAGUACUGUAGAGGGGGUAGAAUUUCAGGUGUAGCGGUGAAAUGCGUAGAGAUCUGAAGGAAUACCGGUGGCGAAGGCGGCCCCCUGGACAGAUACUGACACUCAGAUGCGAAAGCGUGGGGAGCAAACAGGAUUAGAUACCCUGGUAG